GGCUUUAUAUUCAAAAUGAUAUUAGAUUGCAAAUCUGAAGGUGUAGUAUUACUAAGGCCU
rnacentral:tRNA from 1 species